UACGAAGGGGGCUAGCGUUGCUCGGAAUUACUGGGCGUAAAGCGCACGUAGGCGGAUUCUUAAGUCGGUGGUGAAAUCCUGGAGCUCAACUCCAGAACUGCCUUCGAUACUGGGAAUCUUGAGUUCGGGAGAGGUGAGUGGAACUGCGAGUGUAGAGGUGAAAUUCGUAGAUAUUCGCAAGAACACCAGUGGCGAAGGCGCUCACUGGCCCGAUACUGACGCUGAGGUGCGAAAGCGUGGGGAGCGAACAGG
rnacentral:rRNA from 1 species